rnacentral:rRNA from 1 species
UACGGAGGAGGCAAGCGUUAUCCGGAAUUAUUGGGCGUAAAGCGUCCGUAGGUGGUUUAGUAAGUCUGCUGUUAAAGCGCGGGGCUUAACUCCGUAUCGGCAGUGGAAACUACUAGACUAGAGUGUGGUAGGGGUAGAGGGAAUUCCCAGUGUAGCGGUGAAAUGCGUAGAUAUCUGGAGGAACACCGGUGGCGAAGGCGGCAUCCUGGACCGGUAUUGACGCUGAGGAGCGAAAGCCAGGGGAGCAAACGGG